GCUUCCGAGCCGGGUGCGCGCCGAGCACAGGAGAUUGCCUGCCUUUAGGAGGUGGCUGCGUUGUGGGAAAAGCUAUCAAGGAAGAAAUUGCCAAACCAUGUCUUUUUUUCUGUUUUCAGAGACUAAAAUGUUCAUUCAAAUGAAUGGCCAUUGGAUAACUCCAGACCUGAAAAUAAACACUGUUGUCAAAACAGCGUCCAGGCCGGGCGCGGUGGCUCACGCCUGUAAUUCCAACACUUUGGCAGGCGGAGGCGGGCAGAUCACCUGAGUAGUUCACAACAGAUCUGAGUGUUUUAAUUAAGCAUGGAAUACAGAAAACAACAAAAAACUUAAGCUUUAAUUUCAUCUGGAAUUCCACAGAGACAAGGCCACUUUAUGUUUCCCAGGCUGGACUGGAACCCCUGGGCUCAAAUGAUCCUCCUACCUAAGCCUGCAGAGUAGCCAGGACUUCAGUUUUCUUAGCUCCCUGGACCCUGUUGACCUGUUGGCUCUUCCUGCUGGCUGCUCUAUCACGUGGUGCUCUCCGACUACUCACCCCGAGUGUAAAGUCUUGCUGCUCUGUUGCCCAGGCU
rnacentral:sRNA from 1 species